rnacentral:rRNA from 1 species
GGUUAAGCGACUAAGCGUACACGGUGGAUGCCCUGGCAGUCAGAGGCGAUGAAGGGCGUGCUAAUCUGCGAUAAGCGCCGGUAAGGUGAUAUGAACCGUUAUAACCGGCGAUACCCGAAUGGGGAAACCCAGUGUGAUUCGUCACACUAUCAUUAACUGAAUCCAUAGGUUAAUGAGGCGAACCGGGGGAACUGAAACAUCUAAGUACCCCGAGGAAAAGAAAUCAACCGAGAUUCCCCCAGUAGCGGCGAGCGAACGGGGAGGAGCCCAGAGCCUGAAUCAGCAUGUGUGUUAGUGGAAGCGUCUGGAAAGGCGCGCGAUACAGGGUGACAGCCCCGUACACAAAAGCGCAUGUGCUGUGAGCUCGAUGAGUAGGGCGGGACACGUGGUAUCCUGUCUGAAUAUGGGGGACCAUCCUCCAAGGCUAAAUACUCCUGACUGACCGAUAGUGAACCAGUACCGUGAGGGAAAGGCGAAAAGAACCCCGGCGAGGGGAGUGAAAAAGAACCUGAAACCGUGUACGUACAAGCAGUGGGAGCACAGGUUUACCUGUGUGACUGCGUACCUUUUGUAUAAUGGGUCAGCGACUUAUAUUCUGUAGCAAGGUUAACCGAAUAGGGGAGCCGGAGGGAAACCGAGUCUUAAUUGGGCGUUAAGUUGCAGGGUAUAGACCCGAAACCCGGUGAUCUAGCCAUGGGCAGGUUGAAGGUUGGGUAACACUAACUGGAGGACCGAACCGACUAAUGUUGAAAAAUUAGCGGAUGACCUGUGGCUGGGGGUGAAAGGCCAAUCAAACCGGGAGAUAGCUGGUUCUCCCCGAAAGCUAUUUAGGUAGCGCCUCGUGAAUUCAUCUCCGGGGGUAGAGCACUGUUUCGGCUAGGGGGCCAUCCCGGCUUACCAACCCGAUGCAAACUGCGAAUACCGGAGAAUGUUAUCACGGGAGACACACGGCGGGUGCUAACGUCCGUCGUGAAGAGGGAAACAACCCAGACCGCCAGCUAAGGUCCCAAAGUCAUGGUUAAGUGGGAAACGAUGUGGGAAGGCCCAGACAGCCAGGAUGUUGGCUUAGAAGCAGCCAUCAUUUAAAGAAAGCGUAAUAGCUCACUGGUCGAGUCGGCCUGCGCGGAAGAUGUAACGGGGCUAAACCAUGCACCGAAGCUGCGGCAGCGACACUGUGUGUUGUUGGGUAGGGGAGCGUUCUGUAAGCCUGUGAAGGUGUGUCGUGAGGCAUGCUGGAGGUAUCAGAAGUGCGAAUGCUGACAUAAGUAACGAUAAAGCGGGUGAAAAGCCCGCUCGCCGGAAGACCAAGGGUUCCUGUCCAACGUUAAUCGGGGCAGGGUGAGUCGACCCCUAAGGCGAGGCCGAAAGGCGUAGUCGAUGGGAAACGGGUUAAUAUUCCCGUACUUGGUGUUACUGCGAAGGGGGGACGGAGAAGGCUAUGUUGGCCGGGCGACGGUUGUCCCGGUUUAAGCGUGUAGGUGUGUGUUCCAGGUAAAUCCGGUUCACUUUAACACUGAGGCGUGACGACGAGGCACUACGGUGCUGAAGCAACAAAUGCCCUGCUUCCAGGAAAAGCCUCUAAGCAUCAGGUAACAUCAAAUCGUACCCCAAACCGACACAGGUGGUCAGGUAGAGAAUACCAAGGCGCUUGAGAGAACUCGGGUGAAGGAACUAGGCAAAAUGGUGCCGUAACUUCGGGAGAAGGCACGCUGACACGUAGGUGAAGUGAUUUACUCAUGGAGCUGAAGUCAGUCGAAGAUACCAGCUGGCUGCAACUGUUUAUUAAAAACACAGCACUGUGCAAACACGAAAGUGGACGUAUACGGUGUGACGCCUGCCCGGUGCCGGAAGGUUAAUUGAUGGGGUCAGCGCAAGCGAAGCUCCUGAUCGAAGCCCCGGUAAACGGCGGCCGUAACUAUAACGGUCCUAAGGUAGCGAAAUUCCUUGUCGGGUAAGUUCCGACCUGCACGAAUGGCGUAAUGAUGGCCAGGCUGUCUCCACCCGAGACUCAGUGAAAUUGAACUCGCUGUGAAGAUGCAGUGUACCCGCGGCAAGACGGAAAGACCCCGUGAACCUUUACUAUAGCUUGACACUGAACAUUGAGCCUUGAUGUGUAGGAUAGGUGGGAGGCUUUGAAGUGUGGACGCCAGUCUGCAUGGAGCCGACCUUGAAAUACCACCCUUUAAUGUUUGAUGUUCUAACGUGGACCCGUUACCCGGGUUGCGGACAGUGUCUGGUGGGUAGUUUGACUGGGGCGGUCUCCUCCUAAAGAGUAACGGAGGAGCACGAAGGUUGGCUAAUCCUGGUCGGACAUCAGGAGGUUAGUGCAAUGGCAUAAGCCAGCUUGACUGCGAGCGUGACGGCGCGAGCAGGUGCGAAAGCAGGUCAUAGUGAUCCGGUGGUUCUGAAUGGAAGGGCCAUCGCUCAACGGAUAAAAGGUACUCCGGGGAUAACAGGCUGAUACCGCCCAAGAGUUCAUAUCGACGGCGGUGUUUGGCACCUCGAUGUCGGCUCAUCACAUCCUGGGGCUGAAGUAGGUCCCAAGGGUAUGGCUGUUCGCCAUUUAAAGUGGUACGCGAGCUGGGUUUAGAACGUCGUGAGACAGUUCGGUCCCUAUCUGCCGUGGGCGCUGGAGAACUGAGGGGGGCUGCUCCUAGUACGAGAGGACCGGAGUGGACGCAUCACUGGUGUUCGGGUUGUCAUGCCAAUGGCACUGCCCGGUAGCUAAAUGCGGAAGAGAUAAGUGCUGAAAGCAUCUAAGCACGAAACUUGCCCCGAGAUGAGUUCUCCCUGAGACUUAGAGUCUCCUGAAGGAACGUUGAAGACGACGACGUUGAUAGGCCGGGUGUGUAAGCGCAGCGAUGCGUUGAGCUAACCGGUACUAAUGAACCGUGAGGCUUAACCUU